AAUGACCGGGAAAAUCUGACAGGAGUGAGAAGAUGAUAACAGCACAGCGGGGUUUUAGAAGCCCUAGGGGUGGGCGGAAUGACCAAAAAUCUAUUCCACGGAAUGAGUCAUUUUAUUUCACAGAACGGUAUAUUCACGGUCAGAGAAUGGAUGGAUUAUCCAGUCACGGUACAUAAUGAAAGACUUGACUGAGUUAGAAGAAGCUGAGCGACUCUUCAGAGUGAAGAUGUUAUGAUGCAGUUAUGUCAAAGUACUCGUUUUGGCUGGCCAGAUUGGAAGAGACCUGAAUGGGAAGAUGGCAGAGCUAAGACUGACAAUGUCCAGGAAAAAUGUUAACUAAAAAUGAGUGUGUUUUUCCCCAGCGAGUGAGUUUGGAAAUGUUUUAAAUGUGCCUAGAAGUUUGAAAAUGUAAUACUGAGGGAAAAAAGUGAGCGCUUUGAAAAGGCUUUAAAAAGAAAAUAAAGUUGAUGUUAAAUGAAGUUAAAGUUUUUACUUGAAAAGUUU